UGGCAUUUCCUCUGCUGGUACUCAUUCUGUCUCCUGCUGCCCUGUGAAGAGGUGCCUUCCACCAUGAUUGUAAGUUUCCUGAGGCCUCCCCAGCCAUGUGGAACUGUGAGUCGGAAGGUGACCGCAUCCACCUUUAAACACGGGGCUUGCAACUUAACUCACACCCAACCAAUCAGAGAGCUCACUAAAAUGCUAAUUAGGCAAAAACAGGAGGUAAAGAAAUAGCCAAUCAUCUAUUGCCUGAGAGCACAGCAGGAGGGACAAGGAUCGGGAUAUAAACCCAGGCAUUCGAGCCGGCAACAGCAACCCCCUUUGGGUCCCCUCCUUCCUAUGGGAGCUUUGUUUUCACUCUAUUUCACUCUAUUAAAUCUUGCACUGCACUCUUCUCGUCCAUGUUUGUUACGGCUCGAGCUGAGCUUUUCGCUCGCCGUCCACCACUGCUGUUUGCCACUGUCGUAGACCCGCCCCUGACUCCCAUCCCGCCACUGACUCCCAUCCCUCCAGAUCCGGCAGGGUGUCCGCUGUGCUCCUGAUCCAGCAAGACUCCGGUUGCCACUCCUGAUUUUGCUAAAGGCUUGCCAUUGUUCCUGCACGGCUAAGUGCCUGGGUUCGUCCUAAUUGAGCUGAACACUAGUCACUGGGUUCCACGGUUCUCUUCCAUGACCCACAGCUUCUAAUAGAGCUAUAACACUCACUGCAUGAUCCAAGAUUCCAUUCCUUGGAAUCCGUGAGGCCAAGAAUCCCGGGUCAGAGAACACAAAGCUUGCCACCAUCUUGGAAGCGGCCCACCACCAUCUUGGAAGCGGCUUGCCACCAUCUUGGGAACUCUGUGAGCAAGGGCCUCAGGUAACAUUUUGGUGACCACGAAGUGACCUCCAAAGCGGUGAGUAAUAUUGGACCACUUUCGCUUGCUAUUCUGUCCUAUCCUUCCUUGGAAUUGGAGGAAAAUACCGGGCACCUGUCGACCAGUUAAAAACGAUUAGCAUGGCCGCCGGACUUAAGACUCAGGUGUGAGACUAUCUGGCGAAGGGCUUUCUAACAACCCCCAACCCUUCUGGCUUGGGGACGUUGGUCUGGUCGGAGCAGCUUCCACUUUCAAUUUUCAUGGGGAAGCCGAGGGCCGACUAGAGGCAGAAAGCUGUCAUCCCGAACUCCUGGCAGUAGCCGGUUGAGAUCAUGGCGCAGCCAGAAUUCUCUACUCAGUAGAUGCCCAUCCGUGCGCCCCUACCUUUCCCUUCUGAUCCAUACCUCCUGGGUCCCGACCAUGACUUUCUUGAAAGCAUAGCCCCCAAAUUCUCCUUACCUCUGAAUCUACUUCCUCUGAUCCUUGCGUCCUAGGUACUAAUGGUUCAGACUUUCAUUUCCUCUAGCAAGUUGUAUCUCCAAAGGGAUCUCAGGAAGCUCUAUGCUGUGUCCUUAGGCAUCUAGGCUGUAACCCAGGGAGUCUUAUCCCUGGUGUCCCUCCCGAAUGCGGAGUCUCACUGUGUUGCAAAUUCCUGACCUCAAGUGAUCUUCCUGCCUGGGCCUCAAAGUGCGGGGAUUAUACGCAGGGGCCACUGCUUUCAGCCUUUAAAUUCUGUUAAAAACAGCGUUGGUGAGAGUUGGUUUUUAUAGAUUCCUGCUCAGAGCCUGAAGGAUGAACUAGGAGACCUUUUGACAUCAACUCUUUCUAUGUGUGAACUCCUAACACUGAAAAAACACCAAUUAAGAAAAUUCAGUGAUACAAGUUGACUAUUACAUAAAUGCAUUCAAAAGGGAGACAACUUAAAUAGCUUGAUUUAGCCAUUCCAUAAUGUAUACAUAUAUCAAAACAUCAGGCUGUGUGGCAUAAGUACAUUCAAGUUUUACUUGUCAAGGAAAAUAAAUUAAUUUGUAAAAGGAUGAACAGAAUAAUUUCCCCAUAGAUUUCUAACUUCAUGAUGAUUUUUUGUAAUUAAGAGUUAUGUAUCUAAUGACAUGAAGCUUGCUAGCAAAAGUGCCGCUGCUCACACUACUGAUAGCAACGUAGGAAAUCUCUCUGAAAGGCUUGCAGCAUUUCUCAGAGGUAAAAGCAGAGACUGCUAAGCCUUCCUUUACAGUAAAUAUGCCAUGCUCUCAGACCUGUAAUUCACCUGACUCAUGAGCCAAGGUUUGUACUUGAUAGACUCAAUAAACAAUCUUACACUGUUGAAAGGCUCCAGAUAUGCUACAAAACUAUACAAAAUUUAACACUAUAGUUAUAUUGCAUACUUUGCAGUUGCUGCUGAUGGGGAAAAUGUCUUUCAUAGGCAAAAGACUCAAAGUUUUAAAAAACAACAAAGUAACAAACCAGUGCUCCAAAGUAACAAGACCAUAAUUCUGAUAGUAGGCUCCCAGUAUUUUGCUGUGUUUCAUAAAAGAGAGGAUUAUUUAUUAUUAUUACACAUGAAAGGUGGAGGCAUAUAAUUGUAGAUAUCUUAAAGGGCAACUUUAGGGAGAAACAGCAAGAUGGCUGACCAGGACAUCCUAGCCCUUACCUUGCCUUGCCACAAAAACAAUGAUUUAACAACUGCCCAUGGGUGAAAAUAGCUCUGGGAGAGCUCUCAAGUACAAUUAGGGAGCUGUCCAAUUAGGGCACAAAAACUGAGGAUGGCCACAUAGAAAAGUGUAGGAAUCAUUUUACCUGUAUCACCUGUCCUAGGUAGAUAUAGCUUAGAGCCAAGAGAGAUCCUCUUGGCUUUAACUCCCCACUCACCCGCCAGAGGGAAAGGAGAGCAGGAGGACUUUUGGAUUCUGUGCACUGAGGACUCUAGCAGCCCUCACCACCUCACCAUUGUUGUAGACAACUGUAGCACCAGCUGCUGAGAACCCCUACAGUAUUUGCUGAUGCUGACUCCGGCUGAUGGAGCAGCCCAGAAUUUACAUUUCUGAGCCUUGCAACCCUGGAGCAAGAAAUAUUUGUUGUGUCUCCCCAGGGUCAGCGCUGCCACUGCACAACCUCAGGGUUGGAACCACCACCAUGGAAACUUUUGCUGCUGACACACAUGUACCCACCCACAGAACCAGAAGCCACCACACCCACCCCCAAAUGGACAAUUCAGUACUUCCCUAGUUUCUUAUAGACAACAUAUAGGUUUCUCAUGCUAUUUGAUUUCCUCUGACAAUCUGUUUUUAUUGGUGCAUUUAGACUACUGAUGUUCAAAAUGUUUAUUGAUACAGUUGGAUACAUACCUAUUUAUUACUUUUUAUAUUUGUUGCCUUGUUCUUUGCUUUUAUUUUGUAUCCCACUCUUUUUCUGUCCUUUGUAUUUAAUUGAGCAUUUCAUAUAAUGCAACAUCUCUUCUGUCUGACAGUUUUUAUUUUGAUUAUCCUGUUCCCAUUAUAAGUUGUAGGGUAGGGAAUGAACAGAUGAAUUUUUCUCUUAGUCAUUUGACUUCACUGCCAGCAUGCCAGCAUUACUAAAAUGUUUAAGAAGAUCUUUCUGGCAUAAGGAUAAUUAUACUAGAUGAAAAUUUAGAUCUACAUAAUUGAAUAAAGAGUAGUUGGGAAUGAUAGGUAUAUAGAUAGAUAUAAUUUUUAUUUCACAUACUGAAAACAUUAGUGGAAAAGCAUAUGGCUUUCUCUGUGGACAUUCUAAGACAUUCAUCCGCCCUGCUGGGGAUGUGGGAAAUGAGCAGUUUUGAAUAAAUAAAGAAAAUGUCUACUUCCUGAGAAAGACUGAUAAGAAUCUAAAAGGCAUAAUUUUCUCAUAAAAGGGUAAGCAGCUGCAUAUGUUGGCAUGAUUGAUGAGAUCUGCUACAGUCAAGCAAGCAGCCCUGGGUGACCAGUUUACCCUUCCCUGCGAGGGUUCCAGCUGCCAGUUGCCCCCAUUCUGUGACAGCUUCUCCUUCUCCUCACCUUGUCAUCCAGCCAAGAUUGUACACUGUAGGAGUACAGGUGAGCAUCUGCCUCCAUAAUCAUUGCCAACAGCCCUCCAUUAUCAACUGCCAGGGGUGCUUCAAAGCAAUGUGGAGUUCUUUCUCUUGACACAGGGACCAAGUGUAUUUAUGCCUGAAACAAACUCUGCCUUUGCUGACUAGGGAAACUCACAUGUAAAAUGUUUUUUUUUAAUUGCAUCACAAAUCACUACAGUAUUAUAAAACAGGUCGUAGCAUCCUCCAGCCCUCACCACCAUGACCCCCAUCAGGUAUUGUACAUUAGACUAUGUAAAGACCUUUCACUUAAAAAUAGGGAUUUUAUAUGAUCUGAUUUGCAGAGAGUUUGAUCAUCAUGACAUUCCACAAAGCCCCAGUCUUGUCCACUACAUUGAUGACAUUGAGUUUAUUGAAUCUGAUGUGUAAGAGGUAGCAAUUACUAUGACAUAGUUUCGUAAGGUAAAUUCUAGCCAGAAUCUGGGCAGUAAUUCCACAAAAAUGCAUGGAUCCACCUCUU
rnacentral:lncRNA from 10 species